rnacentral:rRNA from 1 species
AACGAACGCUGGCGGCAUGCCUAACACAUGCAAGUCGAACGAGACCUUCGGGUCUAGUGGCGCACGGGUGCGUAACGCGUGGGAACCUGCCCUUAGGUUCGGAAUAACUCCCCGAAAGGGGUGUUAAUACCGGAUAAUGUCUUCGGACCAAAGAUUUAUCGCCUUUGGAUGGGCCCGCGUUGGAUUCGCUAGUUGGUAGGGUAAUAGCCUACCAAGGCGACGAUCCAUAGCUGGUCUGAGAGGAUGAUCAGCCACACUGGGACUGAGACACGGCCCAGACUCGUACGGGAGGCAGCAGUGGGGAAUAUUGGACAAUGGGCGAAGGCCUGAUCCAGCAAUGCCGCGUGAGUGAUGAAGGCCUUAGGGUUGUAAAGCUCUUUUACCCGGGAUGAUAAUGACGGUACCGGGAGAAUAAGCACCGGCUAACUCCGUG